AUUCUCUUUUUACCAGCCGAAUAUGAAGGCUUGAGAAGCCAUGGAAGAAGCUUCCAACUUUCAGCUAAUGCAUGGGUUGCCAGGUUAGAUCGGGUUAGAGGCCGUCAGAGAUAUUAUCACAUUGUCAAGUCUACGCUAUCGGCUGUUUUAUAAUGAAAUCAAAGCUAACUCGGAUUUGGGAAUCGUCGGAGACCUUAUCACACUAUCAAGCUAUCACAUUGGUACUUUUAAAUCUAUGUUUUUAGGAUAUAUGGCAUGUAUAGGAGCUUUGGUCAUUUUGGUAUAUAUGAUAGUAAUGAAUUUAGCCAUUUGGAUUGGCUUGUAAAUGUUUAGUGUUUGGUUUUAUAUAUAGCCAUGAGAGUUGGCUUA